CUUCAUUAUCCAAAACAGAAAGCAACCAAAUGUAACCCUAAAGCCCUUCAGCAACAGCUCAUCCACACCUAUACACAACGUAAUUGCCUCUCUCUCCCUCUCUCUCUCUCUCUCCCAUUUCAGGCAAAGUCACAUUUCCUUUAGCUAAAUACCAGUUCUUGUAUUGUCAUUUUAGUGCAAGAAUUACUUUUCCAGACCCAUUCCUAUCUCUUUUUUACUAUUUCAUGCUCCCAAACAAACCCAAAUCUUGAACCAUCAAAAGGGGUGCACUAUUAUGAGCAAAGGUUGAAGCUCUGUUGACCAAAUCACGUGGAGAUCAAGCUCAAUUGUGGCUCAAACUUUCAACAUUUGAAUGGGCAUCUCAAUCUUCAAACGGCUCUUCCAAAUUCCCUCUCAGUCAAACCCAAACACUAAAUAUUUGGGGUUUUAUAAAUAGAACACUAUUCCUCAUUUCUUACAACGGUUUUUGGACACUAAAACAACUGAUUUUUCAAUUCACUUAACAUAAAACAAGAAAAAUUUCUUGAGUUCACUAAGUUUAAAAAAUUUCUUUUGAUUCAUCUCUUACGUUGAGUUGAAAUCAAAGGGGAUCAAUUCGACUCUUGUCGCCCCCGUCGCUGCAUCGGAAAAAGAAGAUUCAUGAGAGCUUUAGCAAUAAUUUGGUAUGAAGAACGUUACACCAUCAAAUACAAGAUUGUUCUCAAAAACCUUAGAAACUGAAAAGAUAUUGGUGCACCCACUUGUAAACAAGGUGUGGAUUCUUUUCAGCUGGUACUUUUAUUUUAUUCGCUAUAAUUUGCACAAAUUAUUUGUCUUAAUUAGAAUGAAGAGUUGGAUGAAUUUUCCCAAUGGUUAGAAAUAGAAAGAGUAAAUACGAUUUUCAAUACUUUGGUUAUAUGCAACUACAAAGUACCAAGCAUUCUAAUUGGAUUAGAAUGGAUCCUUUAUCAGUCAUUCGUUGAAUGAUAAAUAACUACAAGUGACGGAGACAGACGAUUUAAAUAACGGAAAAUUCAAUAUUUAAAAAUUGUAUUGAGAAUGACUGGAAAUAUCUUAUAUACAGGAAAAUCCUAUAGAUGUGAAUUAUUUACUAAUCAUUUAUUGGGAUGACAGUUACGUUGAUCUUAAUAUAGAGGAGACAUAUAAUCGGUCCUAAAUAGUUUGAAAUUGAGGUGUUUUUUACAGUUUGUGUUUUUUUUUUUUUUUGGUCCAAUUGUUGCUUUUAUUCUUUUUAGAAGUUAGUUUUAACUCUGAUUGGGAUGCAUCGACCUGAAACCAAUUAAGUAAUUUAAAGUUAGUUUUCAAGUCCAUGUAAUUUCAUUAGUUUUCUUAAAUUACUUUAUUGCGUGCUUUUGGAUUUGUAAUAUUUUUGGAAUUUUAACUUUUUUGUUUGUAUCAAGUCGAUACUCUCAGAGAGGUUUGAGGCUAACAAAUGUAUUAUGUUUUUAUCGCC